rnacentral:lncRNA from 1 species
AAAGAUGUGGCGUAUAAAAUGGAUUCACUAAUUGGAAACGAAAAUUUUUUUUUAAUAACGUGAAAUUUCACCAAAAGGGAUAUUAAAGAGUGUAGAAUGUGAUUUUGGAAAAAUUUCUAUUGAAGUGUCUCCAGACUCUUUUUUUUUACGGAUCUUUCACGUCUUUUAGUCCGCACCUAGACCGUAUGCAAUUUUUUUUUCAAAUUUUUUUUCUUUUCGAUUUU